AUGAGGGCAAAGAGGAGGAGGAGGAGGGUGAAGACGCCGAGCCGGCUGGUGGGGCAGCCGGCCAGCCUCAGCCUGACCGUACCUCCAGCACUACGUCGCGAGCGAGUGCGUCACCUGCCGCUGGUGGUGGUCAAGCCGAGACCCGCUAGGAGGCCACUCCUUCAGCCGGCGGGGCCGUCUCCACCGACCAGCACGGCCUCCGCGCCGCGCCCUAGUCUGCCAUCUUUUGUUCUCCUGUCUUGUUACUUUUGGGACAAUGUUUGGUUAAGUCUGCACAAUUCCACCCACUGGUGUAUUCGAACUUAUGUCUGUUGCCAGCCUGUUGGGGGCUUUAUGUGUAUAUAUAACUUAUGCAUUUGGCCUUUCCUUGUACUUUUGCUUUUUGUCCUUCUGCUGUUUCCUUUGCCGCCCUCCCUUGGUUGCCGCCUCCCCAGUCCAACAGUUGCUCUGCAAUAUGUAGCUGGAGGAGUGCUUGGCCAAUUGGGGGGAGGAGUACUUUAG
rnacentral:rRNA from 1 species